rnacentral:tRNA from 1 species
GCCGAGAUAGCUCAGUUGGGAGAGCGUCAGACUGAAGAUCUGAAUUUCUCUGGUUCAAAUCCGGAGAGUUCGUAUGAGCU